ACAGCAGAGCAAGGAAAGUGUUCCUCUCGGUUAAGUACAUCCUCCUCGUUUGUAUAAAUUUGGGAAACAGAUACCUGCAGACGCUAUUUCUAGGUCCUAGAAACCAAUGUUGCCUUGCCAUCAGAGCCAUUUCUCACCAAGAGGAAGUUGCUGAUUGCAGACGAAAGGCCAGAAUGGCACCUCAGAACGUCCCUCUUUACUUCUGGGACAACUCACUGGCGUGUGGCUCCUAAGGGACGAUCCCGGAAGUGGAAAACUCUAUGAUCCUCCCUCCAAAGGGCUGCAGGUUUUUUUCCAGAAGCUCCUCUUCAGCCUGACUGCCUUGUGGAUCACCCUUGGUUUGUGCCAUGGAUCCUGCUUCAUGAACCAACUGGAACCAACGAUAAUCAAUGGUGUGAUGGUGAUGCCAAAUGGGUGCAUCGAUUCUUAUGACGGUAGAAGACAUUCAUUCAGGUCUAAGUGGAAUUCAGGUCAUUGCCUUGAAUGCUAUUGUGAGCGGACAGAGAUACGCUGCUGUACCAGGCCUGCUGGUGUUGCAUAUAUUGAAGGCUGCACUGGAAUGGUAGAUCCAGAAACGUGUCAACAUAGGUUCCACAAGAUUAAUGACCCCACAAAGCCAUGUUUCAUCUAAGCAUUUUUUAUUUUUAUUUUUAAAAAUAAAAACCUAACCCAUUCCUUUCACGUAGAACUUUAAUA